UGGGGAAUAUUGGACAAUGGGGGGAACCCUGAUCCAGCCAUGCCGCGUGUGUGAAGAAGGCCUUUUGGUUGUAAAGCACUUUAAGCGAGGAGGAGGCUACCGAGAUUAAUACUCUUGGAUAGUGGACGUUACUCGCAGAAUAAGCACCGGCUAACUCUGUGCCAGCAGCCGCGGUAAUACAGAGGGUGCAAGCGUUAAUCGGAUUUACUGGGCGUAAAGCGCGCGUAGGUGGCCAAUUAAGUCAAAUGUGAAAUCCCCGAGCUUAACUUGGGAAUUGCAUUCGAUACUGGUUGGCUAGAGUAUGGGAGAGGAUGGUAGAAUUCCAGGUGUAGCGGUGAAAUGCGUAGAGAUCUGGAGGAAUACCGAUGGCGAAGGCAGCCAUCUGGCCUAAUACUGACACUGAGGUGCGAAAGCAUGGGGAGCAAACAGG
rnacentral:rRNA from 7 species